rnacentral:rRNA from 1 species
AGUGAACGCUGGCGGUAGGCCUAACACAUGCAAGUCGAACGGCAGCACAGUAAGAGCUUGCUCUUACUGGUGGCGAGUGGCGGACGGGUGAGGAAUACAUCGGAAUCUACUUUUUCGUGGGUGAUAACGUAGGGAAACUUACGCUAAUACCGCAUACGACCUACGGGUGAAAUCAGGGGAUCUUCGGACCUUGCGCGAUUGAAUGAGCCGAUGUCGGAUUAGCUAGUUUGCGGGGUAAAGGCCCACCAAGGCGACGAUCCGUAGCUGGUCUGAGAGGAUGAUCAGCCACACUGGAACUGAGACACGGUCCAGACUCCUACGGGAGGCAGCAGUGGGGAAUAUUGGACAAUGGGCGCAAGCCUGAUCCAGCCAUACCGCGUGGGUGAAGAAGGCCUUCGGGUUGUAAAGCCCUUUUGUUGGGAAAGAAAAGCAGCAGGUUAAUACCCCGAUGUUCUGACGGUACCCAAAGAAUAAGCACCGGCUAACUUCGUG